ensembl:lncRNA
UAACCCACCCAGCACCAGACGUCAUUUGGACGUUGUUUUCUGGUCUAAAUAAAGUCGGCCCGUCAUGGCUUUCUUUUAGACCAAAAAACGACGUUGAAAAAUGGUCUUUGUUUGGUCCGAGAGAUUUGGUCCAAAUUAAGCCCAAAAAGCGACGUUUAACGUCUUUUUUUUUUUAAUCCAAAUUUAGCCCAAAAAUAGAUGUAGAUGGGCUUUUGUCCAAAUUUAGCAGAAAAACACGUUUAUUUCGGACCACAGCCAUUAACAAAUAUAGCUAGUGAAGAAAUAGAUUAUACAUCAUAUCUGAAGCACUGUUAAAUAUAUUGAAAUAUAUUUUGAAAACACUGGAUGGGCGCGCGCUGAACUGGAGCGGAGGACGUCACCAUGGAAACGGGGCGGCAGCUCAACUGUCAAGCAGCUGAACGCUGUCUCUCAUGGUUGUUUUUACUAAUUUCAGAAAUGGUUUAUUGUCUUCAGAAAAAGUCCGUUAGCAUCUCAACCUUAAUGCUAACUACAAGAGAGACUGAAAAUCAUCGAUAAACCACAAGAGUUUAGCUCCAACCCCAAUUAAGCAGACCUGAGCAGCUGAUCAAAGAUCACCAGAAACUCUGCAGAACGGUGGUCCUGCAUGCCCAGGACUGGACACCAGUGUUAUGCUGGAGAAAAAACAGCGAAAAAACAUCUGCCAUGGCUCAUUAAUCCAGAAUUGGGAUGGUGGAAGGAGCAGAAGAACCAGAAGAUCAGAGAUCAGGCAGAGAUCUACUGGUGCCCCUGUGGGAACCAAUUUACCUAAUGAGUUAGUUAAACCAAAGAUUUUCAUCACUCACCUUCAUGUUGUUCCAAGUCAGACUUUUGUUCAUCUUUGAAACAUAAAUGCAGAACUUUUUAAUGAAAUCUGAGAAAUUAAUUUUUUUAUUUAUAAAAUAACACAUUCACGAGAGCACCAUGAUGCAUUAGUGUUGAGUUGGCGUGAGAGCUGGCAAUCUCAUGGUACUUUUGUGAAAAUCUGUUGGGGAUACAUCAUUUCUGAAUACAUUUUUGCUGUUGUUGUUUUUUUGUACACAAGGCAUCUGUUAAAAAACCUUAAUUUGUGUUCUGCACAAAAGGGUCUUAUGGGUUUGGAGCAACAUGAGGGUAAGUAAUUAAUGACAGAAUUUACAUUUUUGGUUGUUCUAAUGUGGUUAUUAUUGGUCAUUAUUUCCAUUUUCAAUAUUUUAAAGAUUUAUUGUCUUGAAAAAUUAUGUUUAUACAGAAAGAUUGAUUCAUUGGAUAAGUUACAGUAAAGACUUUUAAAUUGAUAAAAAAUUAAAAUAAAUACUGCUCUUUUGCAAGCUCUAUUAAAAAAUACUGAUAAAUUUAAUGGUUUCAACAAAAUAUUAAGCAGCACAACUGUUUUCAACAUUGAUAAUAAUCAGAAAUGUUUCUUGAGCAGCAAAUCAUCAUAUUAGAAUGAUUUUUGAAGAUCAUGUGACACUGAAGACUGGAGUAAUGAUGCUGAAAAUUCAGUUUACAUGGAUAAAUUACAUUUUACAAUGCAUCCGCAUAGAAAAACAAUUAUUUCUGUAGUUAUAUUUCACAAUAUUACUGUUUUUACGGUCUGUUUAAUCAAAU